rnacentral:rRNA from 1 species
AUCUGGCUCUGGUAACGGAGUCCGAGUUGUAAUUUGUAGAAGAUGCUUUGGGUUGCGGGCCCGGCCUAAGUUCCUUGGAACAGGACGUCAUAGAGGGUGAGAAUCCCGUAUGCGGCCGUGGCUUGCGCCUGUGUAAAGCUCUUUCGACGAGUCGAGUUGUUUGGGAAUGCAGCUCAAAAUGGGUGGUAAAUUUCAUCUAAAGCUAAAUAUAGGCCAGAGACCGAUAGCGCACAAGUAGAGUGAUCGAAAGAUGAAAAGCACUUUGGAAAGAGAGUUAAACAGUACGUGAAAUUGUUGAAAGGGAAGCGCUUGCAACUAGACUUGGGCAUCGCUGAUCAUCCGGGGGUAUCUCCGGUGCACUCGACGAUGCACAGGCCAGCAUCGGUUUGGAUGGUUGGAUAAAGGCUGUGGGAACGUGGCUCCUUUCGAGGAGUGUUAUAGCCCACGGUGCAAUGCAGCCCAUCCGGACCGAGGACCGCGCCCUUCGGGGCUAGGAUGCUGGCGUAAUGGUUGUAAGCGACCCGUCUUGAAACACGGACCAAGGAGUCUAACAUCUAUGCGAGUGUUUGGGCGUCAAACCCAUACGCGGAAUGAAAGUGAACGUAGGUGAGAACCCUUUUGGGGUGCAUCAUCGACCGAUCCUGAUGUCUUCGGAUGGAUUUGAGUAAGAGCAUA